rnacentral:rRNA from 1 species
UAAAGCGUGCGCAGGCGGUUAUGUAAGACAGAUGUGAAAUCCCCGGGCUCAACCUGGGAACUGCAUUUGUGACUGCAUGGCUAGAGUACGGUAGAGGGGGAUGGAAUUCCGCGUGUAGCAGUGAAAUGCGUAGAUAUGCGGAGGAACACCGAUGGCGAAGGCAAUCCCCUGGACCUGUACUGACGCUCAUGCACGAAAGCGUGGGGAGCAAACAGGAUUAGAUACCCAGU